GCCCUGGCGGCUCAGUUGGUUGGAGCAUUGUCCUGAUGCGCCAGGGUUGUGGGUUCGAUCGCCGCUCAGGGCA
rfam:Myotis lucifugus cont2.33439, whole genome shotgun sequence.